CGCUGCCUAAUUAGCACCGAGCGUCUCACCGCAAGUUGCUCAUGCGCGCGGAUUGAGAUGUCACUUAGUUGAGCUGGCCCGCUCCUUCGGUCCGUGGGAGUGGGCGAGAACAAAGUCGGACUAGCUCCUGCUGAGGUCUGGUCACUUCACUGACUCGGCAAGCGAGCGAAUUUUUGUCCGGCUUGCCGGACAUGAAAGAGAAGUGACUAAGCAUGUAGAGUCCUUCGACGUUGGCUCUUGGAUCCGAGUUCAAUUCUCGGCGCCUCCACCA
rnacentral:tmRNA from 1 species